rnacentral:rRNA from 1 species
AUGGCGGCCGCGACCAUGGCGCUCUCCUCCCCGGCGAUGGCGGGCACACCUGUGAAGGCCUCCAGGGCGGCGCCCUUCGGGGAGGGCCGCAUCACCAUGCGCAAGACGGCGGGCAAGCCCAAGGUGGCGGCGUCCAGCAGCCCGUGGUACGGCUCCGACCGCGUGCUCUACCUCGGCCCGCUCUCCGGCGACCCGCCGAGCUACCUCACCGGCGAGUUCCCCGGCGACUACGGCUGGGACACCGCGGGCCUGUCGGCCGACCCCGAGACCUUCGCCAAGAACCGGGAGCUGGAGGUGAUCCACUGCCGUUGGGCCAUGCUCGGCGCGCUCGGCUGCGUCUUCCCGGAGCUGCUCGCCCGCAACGGCGUCAAGUUCGGCGAGGCCGUGUGGUUCAAGGCCGGCUCCCAGAUCUUCAGCGAGGGCGGCCUCGACUACCUCGGCAACCCCAGCCUGGUGCAUGCGCAGAGCAUCCUUGCCAUCUGGGCCUGCCAGGUGGUGCUGAUGGGCGCCGUGGAGGGCUACCGCGUGGCCGGCGGCCCGCUGGGCGAGAUCGUGGACCCGCUCUACCCCGGCGGCAGCUUCGACCCCCUGGGCCUCGCCGAGGACCCCGAGGCCUUCGCGGAGCUCAAGGUGAAGGAGAUCAAGAACGGCCGCCUCGCCAUGUUCUCCAUGUUCGGCUUCUUCGUCCAGGCCAUCGUCACCGGCAAGGGCCCCCUCGAGAACCUCGCCGACCACCUUGCCGACCCCGUCAACAACAACGCCUGGGCCUUCGCCACCAACUUCGUCCCCGGCAAGUGA